AGUUUAUGAGCUUGAAUAAGCAUAUAUUUUGAAAAUAUAAGAUAGAAGAUCUAUCUUCUAUAAACUU
rnacentral:tRNA from 1 species